rnacentral:rRNA from 1 species
UGGGGAAUAUUGGACAAUGGGGGGAACCCUGAUCCAGCCAUGCCGCGUGUGUGAAGAAGGCCUUAUGGUUGUAAAGCACUUUAAGCGAGGAGGAGGGUACUGGUAUUAAUACUACCAGCUACUGGACGUUACUCGCAGAAUAAGCACCGGCUAACUCUGUGCCAGCAGCCGCGGUAAUACAGAGGGUGCAAGCGUUAAUCGGAUUUACUGGGCGUAAAGCGCGCGUAGGCGGCUAAUUAAGUCAAAUGUGAAAUCCCCGAGCUUAACUUGGGAAUUGCAUUCGAUACUGGUUAGCUAGAGUGUGGGAGAGGAUGGUAGAAUUCCAGGUGUAGCGGUGAAAUGCGUAGAGAUCUGGAGGAAUACCGAUGGCGAAGGCAGCCAUCUGGCCUAACACUGACGCUGAGGUGCGAAAGCAUGGGGAGCAAACAGG